GGAAGGGCACGAGGGACAAGCAGGACGCCAGAGCCAGUCGAGUGAAAAGCAGCGGGGAGUGGGUUGGGGAAUAAGAAGGUUAUUCACUUGCCAAUAAUUCCUCUGCUUUUCCCCCAGCUCCACGUCAGCCUGGCACUCAUCGACUUGACUCAGGAUAUAACACAGUGGUUCGAUUUGAAGGAGGAAUAGAUAGACUGAGCGGGCGGUUUCCAGUGGCCUUUUUAAUCGACUCAAAAGAGUCCAGUUUCCUUUCUUUUUCUUUUUUAAAAAAAGAUCACGUUUUAUUCCUAUCGUCCAAAGUAUUUCACAUCACUUUGGAGCACAGUAUUAUCUUGAGAUGUUUGGAUGAGGUUUUGUGUUCAAUUGCCCCGAUCACUUUUCACAUGACUUUUUUUGCUGCUUUUUAAUUCACACACACGCACGAAGAAAAGGAUUCCCCGUCAUGUUUCUGUAACUGAAGUUCCGCGUGGCAAUACUUGAAUGAAACGUAAUGUGUGGGAACUGUGCGGAAUAAGUCGCCCGUUUCUUUUUUUCCUCUUGAUUUGAAUUGAUUUGAUUGUAGCAUUGAUUUAGAGAGAUUUUGCUGUUUUAGGAACAUAAGAAUUUGCUGGCGAAAGGAAACCGAGGUCCAUCCAGUUCUCCUUCCGUGUCCCAGACUAUACACCGUAUUCCAAGAUAUUUUUUUCUAACAGAUAUCCCUAUCAUUUGUUCUUGAAACAAACCACACUUUCUGCUUCCAAUUUUUUAUUUGAUUUUUUUGUUAUAAGGGACCUAUUGGGACCCGGGUUUGAACCAGGUUCCCACACAUUAAAUGGAAGGUUAAAUAGAUCCAAGCUACUCAGCCCAACUGUGAGCCUCCUCCCACCUCCUAAUCCCCUCUCUUACACUCCUCGCUUCCCUUCACCCUCGUGUGUGCAUCCAGCUCUUGUUCCUCUUAACCAUGUUGAUGCUUUCUCUCUGUCCGUCUCUCUGACGGAGCCUGCGAUGCACAGUGUUGCAAUCCAGUUGCGAUCGCAGCGCAAAUUCAUAGAAACAUAGAAUCUUACAGCACAGAAGGAGGCCAUUCGGCCCAUGGUGCCUGUGCCACCAACUAGUCUCACUCCACUGCACUUUCCCCAUAACCUUGCCAGACACGUUUUCUUUUCAAGGACCUCUCCAAUUCCCUUUUGAAAGUUCUGAUUGAAUCCGCUCCCACCGGCCUCUCAGGCGCCACACUCCACACCCGCAGGUUGUUCAGGCAAGAGACAGCUGUGAUAUCUCAGACUAGUGUAGGGGGGAAUACACUCCAUCAGAGGAGGGGGGCGGUGGAGGUUGGUGCAGAGUUUUUGCGGGGGGGUUAAGUGUUGGUCUAGACCCACGGCAGGAGACCCCUCAGUAUAAAGUGAGGGACCAACCAAAUGUGACCAAAUUAAACCUCCCAAAACGCAGGCAAACUGGCUUCCCGGGCGUGGGAGCCUGAUAGCUCGAGAGACCCAGUAAUGCCGGGCCUUGUAGAAACGCUUCACUUGCGAUGGCAAUAGUUUAUUAUUACUAUUAAUCAACUUAUUUAAAGUGCGUUUUGUCGUUUAUGAACAGCCGCCAAAAAAGAAUGUACAGAGUAAUUUAAAGGACGUCAGUCACAGCGAGUGCGGGGGUUACAAACCCGGCUUUGGUGCUUUGACUGAAUGAAGCCACGAAGUUGGGGAGGGGGAUGGGGGGG